UGGGGAAUAUUGGACAAUGGGCGCAAGCCUGAUCCAGCCAUGCCGCGUGGGUGAAGAAGGCCUUCGGGUUGUAAAGCCCUUUUGUCCGGAAAGAAAUCCUGUCGGUUAAUACCCGGCGGGGAUGACGGUACCGGAAGAAUAAGCACCGGCUAACUUCGUGCCAGCAGCCGCGGUAAUACGGAGGGUGCAAGCGUUAAUCGGAAUUACUGGGCGUAAAGCGCACGCAGGCGGUCUGUCAAGUCGGAUGUGAAAUCCCCGGGCUCAACCUGGGAACUGCAUUCGAAACUGGCAGGCUAGAGUCUUGUAGAGGGGGGUAGAAUUCCAGGUGUAGCGGUGAAAUGCGUAGAGAUCUGGAGGAAUACCGGUGGCGAAGGCGGCCCCCUGGACAAAGACUGACGCUCAGGUGCGAAAGCGUGGGGAGCAAACA
rnacentral:rRNA from 1 species